UACGAAAGGGGCUAGCGUUGCUCGGAUUUACUGGGCGUAAAGGGCGCGUAGGCGGACAGUUUAGUCAGAGGUGAAAGCCCAGGGCCAUCCACCUUGGAAUUGCCUUUGAUACUGGCUGUCUUGAGUACGGGAGAGGUGAGUGGAACUCCGAGUGUAGAGGUGAAAUUCGUAGAUAUUCGGAAGAACACCAGUGGCGAAGGCGACUCACUGGCCCGUUACUGACGCUGAGGCGCGAAAGCGUGGAGAGCAAACAGG
rnacentral:rRNA from 1 species